CCCGGGACUACGCUGCCCAGUGUACAGCGCGCCCGCGGCUGCUGGCGCGGCGCGUCGGGACGUGUGCUCUGGGGGAGGCGGCGGGGCCUCGGCGGCGCGGUGCACGCUGGGCGGUUAGCCUCACUGUGGGGCGGGUUGGAGUUGGGGCGUUUCGGAGGCCGGGGUCUGGCGGGGUGCGGCUCGUCCUGAGGUGGAGCCAGCUGAAACGCCUGUCUGAAUACACUUCUCCAGCAGGCCGACCCUAUCGGAGCUUCUUGUGCCUCUGCUUCAGCCUGAUUUGUUAUUACUACCAGGACCACAGGCCAUCGUGAAAGAGUCGUUUGACCACCUUGUGCAGAAGUUCUGGACAUCUGAGAUCCUGAGGUGCAUUAAGAAGAGUGUGUCCAGCUGAUUGAGACACCUCUACUGUGCCCUGGACUGUGAUGUUGCUCUGGAUCUUCUGUAUUCAGACCUUGAGGAAGCAUCUCAGAGUCUCUCCAGGCUAGGAGGCAUGAGAAAAUGACAAGUGGACCAAGAACCUCUGCUUAGCAGCAGCCUUUCACUGCUCUUGUAAAUUCCCUUGUUGUUUUUUUUUUAAGCUAAGACUGGGGUAGUGUUGAGGCUGA